rnacentral:rRNA from 1 species
UGGGGGAUAUUGCACAAUGGGGGAAACCCUGAUGCAGCGACGCCGCGUGAGUGAAGAAGUAUUUCGGUACGUAAAGCUCUAUCAGCAGGGAAGAAAAACUAUCCUUUGGAUACUUGACGGUACCUGACUAAGAAGCCCCGGCUAACUACGUGCCAGCAGCCGCGGUAAUACGUAGGGGGCAAGCGUUAUCCGGAUUUACUGGGUGUAAAGGGAGCGUAGACGGCUGUGCAAGUCUGAAGUGAAAUGCCGGGGCUCAACCCCGGAACUGCUUUGGAAACUGUACAGCUGGAGUGCAGGAGGGGUGAGCGGAAUUCCUAGUGUAGCGGUGAAAUGCGUAGAUAUUAGGAGGAACACCGGUGGCGAAGGCGGCUCACUGGACUGUAACUGACGUUGAGGCUCGAAAGCGUGGGGAGCAAACAGG